GAUCUCUCAUGAAACCCUGAUUGGAUUGGAUUGGAUUGGAUUGGAUUGGAUUGGAUUGAGUGACUCUUUCUCUCUCUCGAGAGAGAGAGUGGUUUCGUCAAUUCUUAGGUGGCUUUCUCGCUCAUUCGUUUUCCACUGAUUUCUCUCUUCUAUAUCUUUCCUCUUUAGGGUUGGUUUUUUGGUUUGCCUCUCCGAAUCUGCGGGUCCAGGUCUCUUAUGGCCCCAGAUGUCGUUGAAGAUCCCGACUAUGACAGUGAUCCCGAGGAAUUGAACCGCUCCUUGGCAACACGGAGGCGACAAGCUAGCGAUGAUGAGGAUGACAACCUCGCCGGAAACCUUACUCAUUCCGAUGACCAGACUGGUAUUCUGGACUCUGAUAUCGACGACCACGCCCUGCCAGAGGAUGACCACGAUUCUGAAGAUCUUGAGGAACAAAAGAAGAAGGAACCUUUCGCAGUGCCUACUGCUGGUGCCUUUUAUAUGCAUGAUGACAGAUUUCAGCCAUUGGAUACCGCCUCUAAUAGGCGAAUGCGUGGUGGCAGGAGGCUCUGGCAAUCCAGAGAUGAAAGAAAGUGGGGACAUGACAAAUACGAGCAAGUCAAUACACACGAAAAACAAUAUGAUCGGAGGACUUCGAGAGGCCGAGUCAGAGGUCGUGGUCAGGGUAGGGGCCAGGAGCGUGGAUAUUCUCGAGGGACCAAUUCUAAAGCACUUACUGGCAAUGGACACCAUAAUCAGUUUCCUAAAGCUGUCACUAGAGAUAGAGGUCCCAAAAGAUAUGAGGUUGCUUUGAGAAAUGGCAAUCAAUCACCUUCUGUGCAAACCAAACUGUCCCAAAAUUCUUUUGUGAAAGUGUCACAUGCCAGUUCAGGGCGUCCACCAACAGAAACAUCUAGCUUAGAGACUGAAGCCACCCAAGCCAAAAAGAAUGUAUUAGCUUCUAGUUUAAACUCAGCUUCUCCUCCAUUUUAUCCUUCAGGAUCCUCCAAUAACUUGGCACGAAAGGAUUUACAAUCUGGCAUUGGUAGACUGCACAUUGAUCAAAACCCUACGCCGUCUGGAAAGAAGUUUGGGAAUACAAAAUCCAGCUCUUCGUGGGUGUGCACUACUCAACCUUCUCAGAUUACAAGCCAUGGUAGAGAUGCACCUCCUCCUGGGAAAAUGCUUUACCAGCAAUCUCCUAAUCAAGGUGGCAAAGUUUCUUCACUGAUGCACAUCCAGGGAAUGCCAAAAGAGACUGACCAAAGAUGUACUCAACCUCCUGGUCAGGCUUUUGAUCAACAUUCUGCUGUUAACAGUUUGCUACCUUCUUCUCCACCAAAACCCGGCUCAUCAGAAAAACAGUAUAUUUCUGGUGAAAUAGAGUCAGCCGCAGAAACAGGUUCUUUGGUUGGCAAGGGGAAAGGGUCAUUCCAGCCUAAUGGAAGAGGAUCUUUUAUAUAUGGAGGGACACAGUUUAUUAGGCCUGCUGGGAGCAUGGCAGCUGGUCAUGGCAAUCCAAAUUUUCCCGCAUUUCUGCCUGUUAUGCAAUUCGGUGUUCAGCAUGGUAGGCUUCCGACCUUUGGAAUGGCUCUUCCAGGAUAUGUCCAACCAGAACAUGGUAUCGGAAAUCCUGAGAUGACAUGGCUACCAAUUUUGCCUGGCCCCGGAGCAUUAGGAGGUUCAUAUUAUCCACCUUAUGCUGCUACUGAUGGUUCUUACCAAGCACACACACCGGGGUUACCUUCCUCUGCUGGAUCCUCCAGCCAAGAGACCAGUUCUGAUAACCCUAAUGAUGAAGAACCCAUGGAGGGACCUGAGGUUACAAACAAUGGAAAUUCACAACCACCGAAUGGCAACCCAAACAAGCAGCCUCGCAGAUACUCGGAGAUGAGCUUUAGCAAGUGAGUGCAAAGGGAGAUCCUCUUGUUUGAAUAAGUGGAGAAAGGAGGUGCGAGAGAAGCUCCUUUGUUGCGUGCUUUCUCACUUUGAGCUGCAAUUGUUGCCUAUCGUAUUAGGAGGUUGUUGUGCAAUUAUAAAGAGAGUUAAUGUGAGAGCUUGAGCUGUGGGCAUCGUUCAUCUGUAACUUAUUAUUUUUUUGUCCUUUGGUGUUCUUUAUUUAUUUUAUAAUUGAUAAUUUGUAAUGUUGUUGAUAUGUGUUAAUGGUUUUGGUCUUUCAACUUUAUCAAGCAAGGUUUGUAUCUGUGCCCUA